rnacentral:rRNA from 1 species
UACGUAGGGUGCAAGCGUUGUCCGGAAUUACUGGGCGUAAAGCGUGCGUAGGCGGUUCGUUAAGUCAGCUGUGAAAGCCCCGGGCUCAACCUGGGAACUGCGGUUGAAACUGGCGAACUAGAAUCUGGCAGAGGGGGGUGGAAUUCCACGUGUAGCAGUGAAAUGCGUAGAGAUGUGGAGGAACACCGAUGGCGAAGGCAGCCCCCUGGGCUGAGCAUUGACGCUCAGGCACGAAAGCGUGGGGAGCAAACAGG